UACGUAGGGUGCAAGCGUUGUCCGGAAUUAUUGGGCGUAAAGAGCUCGUAGGCGGUCUGUCGCGUCGGCUGUGAAAACUCGGGGCUCAACCCCGAGCCUGCAGUCGAUACGGGCAGACUUGAGUGCUGUAGGGGAGACUGGAAUUCCUGGUGUAGCGGUGAAAUGCGCAGAUAUCAGGAGGAACACCGAUGGCGAAGGCAGGUCUCUGGGCCAUAACUGGCGCUGAGAAGCGAAAGCAUGGGGAGCGAACAGG
rnacentral:rRNA from 1 species